CAAUAGCGUAUAUUUAAGUUGUUGCAGUUAAAAAGCUCGUAGUUGGAUUUCGGUUAAGAGCGACCGGUCCGCCGUUUGGUGUGCACUGGUUGGUUUUAACUUCCUGUAGAGGACGUGCUCUGGGUUUAACGACCUGGACUCGGAGUCUACGUGGUUACUUUGAAAAAAUUAGAGUGUUCAAAGCGGGCUUACGCUUGAAUAUUUCAGCAUGGAAUAACGCUAUAGGACUCCUGUCCUAUUUCGUUGGUCUCGGGACGGGAGUAAUGAUUAAGAGGAACAGUUGGGGGCAUUCGUAUUUCAUUGUCAGAGGUGAAAUUCUUGGAUUUAUGAAAGACGAACUUCUGCGAAAGCAUUUGCCAAGGAUGUUUUCAUUA
rnacentral:rRNA from 1 species